GGCUUAUAUAACAACAGCCGCAGGGAGGAGGGAGGAAGAGGGAGUGGAGGGGGAGAGAGAGGUAGUACAUGUAUGGUCACCCGUCGCCGUCGUCGUCUCCGCCGGCAUGGCAGCUCCGAUGGCGAGGUGCGCGAGGUGGAGAAGCAGGGCACGUGCAUGCAUUCUUGCUUCCCUCUCGCCGGCUUGGCAUUCCGGCAGCCGCGCGCGCCGUUCGUGAGAGGGGAUGGCUGCCGCCGGCCGGCCGGCUCGCGGCAGCCAUCUAGCUCCUGAAGCGGGCUGAUGAUGCAUGUGCUCUUCUCCUCCACCGUGCACGCCUCGCCUGCGCAUCUUGUGUUUGAGUGCAUGGGAGCAAGCAAGGCAGCCUUUUCACUUCGACCGGGGCGCAUGCUGCCGGAUCCACAGGUUUCUUGAAGCGGCUGCAAAGUAUAUAUGUGCAUUAGGCCCUCUUUCCAACGCUUGUGAUGAGUCAAUGAUGAAAGUGUUGAAGUUGCAGACACCGAAGUGGUUGCAGAGAAGCAAGAGAGAGCACCGAGCAUAGGAAAGCUACCAAAAUAGCAGAGAGGUAACCUGUAUGCACCGUAUGUACGUGUGUGUCUAUUAUUUGGUGUGCAGUGGGUCUGGGCAUCUGCAUAUGCAGCAGGCUCCUGGCUAAAUGCAGCAUGCAUGUGUGCGAAGCACCAGGCCAAAGUUCCCCCUGCACCAUUUGAUUCUCUGUCACCCGCCGUGAUCUAUCUCAGCAGUGUAAAAUAUCGGCCAUUUACCAAUGGUAACGAUUCAAAUCUGCCCUCGAGUUUGUCGGUUUGGGAUCACACUAUCUUGUUUUUUUAAUUGAAAUUACAGUGCACUAAUUAAUCAUUCAUAUUUGGGAGCA